AACGAACGCUGGCGGCAUGCCUAACACAUGCAAGUCGAACGAGACCUUCGGGUCUAGUGGCGCACGGGUGCGUACCGCGUGGGAAUCUGCCCUUGGGUUCGGAAUCACAGUUGGAAACGACUGCUAAUACCGGAUGAUGACGUAAGUCCAAAGAUUUAUCGCCCAGGGAUGAGCCCGCGUAGGAUUCGCUAGUUGGUGGGGUAAAGGCCUACCAAGGCGACGAUCCUUAGCUGGUCUGAGAGGAUGAUCAGCCACACUGGCACUGAGACACGGCCCAGACUGCGACGGGGGGCAGCAGAGGGGAAUAUUGGACAAGGGGCGAAAGCGUGAUCCAGCAGUGCCGCGGGAGUGGUGAAGGCCUUAGGGUUGUAAAUCUCUUUUAGCCGAGAUGAGAAUGACGGUACCGGGAGAAUAAGCCCCGGCUAACUCCGUG
rnacentral:rRNA from 1 species